GAUGAAGAACGCAGUGAAAUGCGAUAAGUAGUGUGAAUUGCAGAAUUCAGUGAAUCAUCGAAUCUUUGAACGCACAUUGCGCCCCCUGGCAUUCCGGGGGGCAUGCCUGUCCGAGCGUCAUUACAACCCUCAAGCUCAGCUUGGUGUUGGGCCCCGCCGCCCCGGCGGGCCCUAAAGUCAGUGGCGGUGCCGUCCGGCUCCGAGCGUAGUAAUUCUUCUCGCUCUGGAGGUCCGGUCGCGUGCUCGCCAGCAACCCCCAAUUUUUUUCAGGUUGACCUCGGAUCAGGUAGGGAUACCCGCUGAACUUAAGCAUAUCAAUAAGCGGAGGA
rnacentral:misc_RNA from 1 species